rnacentral:rRNA from 1 species
CCUACGGGCGGCUGCAGUGGGGAAUCUUGCACAAUGGAGGAAACUCUGAUGCAGCGAUGCCGCGUGAGUGAAGAAGGCCCUUGGGUUGUAAAGCUCUUUCGUCGGGGAAGAAAAUGACUGUACCCGAAUAAGAAGGUCCGGCUAACUUCGUGCCAGCAGCCGCGGUAAUACGAAGGGACCUAGCGUAGUUCGGAAUUACUGGGCUUAAAGAGUUCGUAGGUGGUUGAAAAAGUUGGUGGUGAAAUCCCAGAGCUUAACUCUGGGAUUGCCUUGGAUACGGGAUGGCUUGAGGAUCGGAGAGGCAAGGGGAAUUCCACGUGUAGCGGUGAAAUGCGUAGAGAUGUGGAGGAACACCUGUGGCGAAGGCGCCUUGCUGGCCGAUUUCUGACGCUGAGGCGCGAAAGCGUGGGGAGCAAACAGGAUUAGAUACCCCAGUAGUC